rnacentral:misc_RNA from 1 species
UGGUUCUGGCAUCGAUGAAGAACGCAGCGAAAUGCGAUAAGUAAUGCGAAUUGCAGAAUUUCCGUGAGUCAUCGAAUCUUUGAACGCACAUUGCGCCCUUUGGCAUUCCGAAGGGCAUGCCUGUUCGAGCGUCAUUAUCAACCUUCAAACCCCGUGUUUGGCGUUGGGCCCACGUCGCGCGGGCGCGCGACCGGCUCCAAAGACAAUGACGGCGUCCGUGGGACCCUCGGUGCAACGAGCUUCUUCCAAAGCACGCGCCGCGGCGGAUCUGCGGGGGCCGGUCUCUGAUGUUCCACAUCACUUCUCAGGUUGACCUCGGAUCAGGUAGGGAUACCCGCUGA